rnacentral:rRNA from 1 species
UACGGAGGGGCUAGCGUUGUUCGGAAUUACUGGGCGUAAAGCGCACGUAGGCGGCUUUGUAAGUUAGAGGUGAAAGCCCGGGGCUCAACUCCGGAAUUGCCUUUAAGACUGCAUCGCUAGAAUUGUGGAGAGGUAAGUGGAAUUCCGAGUGUAGAGGUGAAAUUCGUAGAUAUUCGGAAGAACACCAGUGGCGAAGGCGACUUACUGGACACAUAUUGACGCUGAGGUGCGAAAGCCGGUGGGAGCAAACAGG